UCAAGCGAACAGACGAGGAGCUUGCUCCUUUGACGUUAGCGGCGGACGGGUGAGUAACACGUGGGUAACCUACCUAUAAGACUGGGAUAACUUCGGGAAACCGGAGCUAAUACCGGAUAAUAUUUCGAACCGCAUGGUUCGAUAGUGAAAGAUGGCUCUGCUAUCACUUAUAGAUGGACCUGCGCCGUAUUAGCUAGUUGGUAAGGUAACGGCUUACCAAGGCAACGAUACGUAGCCGACCUGAGAGGGUGAUCGGCCACACUGGAACUGAGACACGGUCCAGACUCCUACGGGAGGCAGCAGUAGGGAAUCUUCCGCAAUGGGCGAAAGCCUGACGGAGCAACGCCGCGUGAGUGAUGAAGGUCUUCGGAUCGUAAAACUCUGUUAUUAGGGAAGAACAAACGUGUAAGUAACUGUGCACGUCUUGACGGUACCUAAUCAGAAAGCCACGGCUAACUACGUGCCAGCAGCCGCGGUAAUACGUAGGUGGCAAGCGUUAUCCGGAAUUAUUGGGCGUAAAGCGCGCGUAAGCGGUUUUUUAAGUCUGAUGUGAAAGCCCACGGCUCAACCGUGGACGGUCAUUGGAAACUGGAAGACUUGACUGCACAAGAGGAAAGUGGAAUGCCAUGUGUGCCGGUGAAAUGGGCGGAAAUCUGGAAGAACUUCACUGGCGAAGG
rnacentral:rRNA from 1 species